rnacentral:lncRNA from 1 species
UCACGUCCUUGUUGAUCAGAGCACGGUUCGAGGUACCCUUGCACUCGGGGGCUGGGGUAAGAGGGAAGAGGACGCGUGGGAGCUAAGUGUCAGUGCCAGCCGGGUCACUUGUGCGAACUGGGCCAUCUAAACCCCACGCAACUGCCCAAGUGUGAAAUAGUAGUCAUGUAAUAUCUCACCAACAUCGAACUCGAGCUUCGAGAGGUUCGGCUUGCAGCACGCGGGCUGCAGGUCGACGGGCCCCGUGCACCGGGUGUCGGUGAAGUUGGUGAAGACCUUGAAGCAGAUCCAGUCGUUGUUAGCAACGCCCUGCAGGUAGCCGUCCCACUUCAGGCGCCAAGGGCUCACACGCAGGCGGUCAUCGCAGCGGCAGUAAGGGAACCGCGGAGGCUUGGCUUGCAGAAGCGUCCUGCGCAACGGAAAUCAAUAGGCAAUCAUAAUAAAUUAUUUGGGCUGGAACAGUAGAGGAAGAUUCAAGCGCUAUUAUAGAGCUCGACUAUAAAAGGGCCCGCCACCCAGCCGACGGACGACAACGCAGCGAGCUUCGGAGCAGACGUGCCGUGACAGCAACCCCGGCUCACCGGCCAGUGGCGUCCACACGACCUGUAAUGAAGCAAAGGAAGCAAGAGAACAGCAGGGUGGUGAGGCGAGAAGGGGAUCAUAGUCGGCCAAAACGCCACCAAGGCCGCAGAACUGCGCUACGCACCUGCAUUCACGCUAAGCGCCGCCAAGGCGCCCAAGAGCGCCAGCAGCAGAAACUUGGAAGCCAUUGCGCGACGAGUGACCGCGCGGC